GAUGAACGCUGGCGGCGUGCCUAAUACAUGCAAGUCGAGCGAACGGUCGAGAAGCUUGCUUCUCUGAUGUUAGCGGCGGACGGGUGAGUAACACGUGGAUAACCUACCUAUAAGACUGGGAUAACUUCGGGAAACCGGAGCUAAUACCGGAUAAUAUUUUGAACCGCAUGGUUCAAAAGUGAAAGACGGUCUUGCUGUCACGUAUAGAUGGAUCCGCGCUGCAUUAGCUAGUUGGUAAGGUAACGGCUUACCAAGGCAACGAGGCAUAGCCGACCUGAGAGGUGGAUCGCCCACCCGGGAACUGGGACACGGACCAGACUCCUACGGGAGGCAGCAGUAGGGAAUCUUCCGCAAUGGGCGAAAGCCUGACGGAGCAGCGCCGCGUGAGUGAUGAAGGUCUUCGGAUCGUAAAACUCUGUUAUUAGGGAAGAACAUAUGUGUAAGUAACUGUGCACAUCUUGACGGUACCUAAUCAGAAAGCCACGGCUAACUACGUG
rnacentral:rRNA from 1 species